rnacentral:rRNA from 1 species
UGAGGAAUAUUGGGCAAUGCCCGCAAGGGUGACCCAGCAACGCCGCGUGGAGGAUGAAUGUCGUAAGAUUGUAAACUCCUGUUAGAGGGGAAGAAUAGUACCGGUUGGACCGGUAUAUGACUGUACCCUCAGAGAAGCCCCGGCUAACUACGUGCCAGCAGCCGCGGUAAUACGUAGGGGGCAAGCGUUGUCCGGAUUUACUGGGUGUAAAGGGCGCGCAGGCGGGAUAAAAAGUCAGUGGUGAAAUCCUACAGCUUAACUGUAGAACUGCCUUUGAUACUUUUAUUCUUGAGUUCGGGAGAGAGAGACGGAAUUCCAGGUGUAGUGGUGAAAUACGUAGAUAUCUGGAAGAACACCAGUUGCGAAGGCGGUCUCUUGGUCCGACACUGACGCUGAGGCGCGAAAGCGUGGGGAGCAAACA